UUGGAUUUUGGAUGUGAUUUAAGAUUUAAUUAGGCUUAGGAUUUGAUUUAGGUUAGGAUUUGGUUAGGAUUUGUUUAAGAUUUGUUUCGGAUUUGAUUAUGAUUUGAUUAAAAUUUAACUAGGAUUUGAUUAGGAUUUUUCUAGGAUUUGAUUAGGGCUUAUUUAGGAUUUGACUAAGGUUUAUUUAGGAUUUGACUAGGAUUUGAUUAGGAUUUGAUUGAGAUUUGUUUAGGAUUUUAUUAGGAUUUGAUUAAGAUUUGAUUUGGAUUUGUCUAGAAUUUGAUUAAGACUUAUUUAAGAUUUGAUUAAGAUUUGAUUAGGAUUUAUUUAGGAUUUGAUUAAGAUUUAAUUAAGAUUUGACUAAGAUUAGAUUAGAAUUUAUCUAAAAUUUGGUUAGGACUUUUUUAAGAUUUUAUUAAGAUUUAAUUAAGAUUAUUAUUGUAAUAUUUUAUUAAGAUUUCUAUUU
rnacentral:lncRNA from 1 species